GCCCCUAUCGUAUAAAGGCUAUUACGUCAGUUUUGUAAUCUGAUUAUGGCGGUUCGAAUCCGUCUAGGGGCUCCA
rnacentral:tRNA from 1 species